rnacentral:rRNA from 1 species
UACGUAGGGCGCAAGCGUUGUCCGGAAUUAUUGGGCGUAAAGAGCUCGUAGGCGGUUUGUCACGUCGGAUGUGAAAGCCCGGGGCUUAACUCCGGGUCUGCAUUCGAUACGGGCAGACUAGAGUGUGGUAGGGGAGAUCGAAUUCCUGGUGUAGCGGUGAAAUGCGCAGAUAUCAGGAGGAACACCGGUGGCGAAGGCGGAUCUCUGGGCCAUUACUGACGCUGAGGAGCGAAAGCGUGGGGAGCGAACGGG